GGUCAACUAGUUAUAUUAUAAUAUAAUAUUAUGUAGCAUUAAUAUUAUCUACACUACAUUUUAUUAUAGUGGACACCACUUUAUUUUAUCAGUUUAUAAGUAAGUUUAGAUUGAUACAAAAUAGUAUGUAUAACAAUUAAAUAUUUCAACAUAAUAAUAAGACAUGAUAAUGAAAACCGGACAACACCACUCUACUAUUUUCCCCUUUCUUUCUCAUAACAGACUCCUCGACUCAUUCGGCCAACGGAUCCUGCCUUGGCGACUGGUCAUCUUUUUCGUCUUCCCGCGAGUGCGUGUUGUUCCGGCUUCUAACAUUCCGACAUCAUCAUUUUUAACUAAAUCAAGUGUUUAUUUUAUCAUUCCUACUACCUAUUCGCAUCAACAUAAUAAAUAAAUAUAAUCAUACCUGUAUUCAAAAUCAACAUUGUUGCUGAGAAUACUCCGUUCAGGAUAGUUAAGUAUAUUAUUGUUACCCUUCAUAGUUUAUAUUUUAUAUUAAUUGUUUC